rnacentral:rRNA from 1 species
UACGUAGGGUGCGAGCGUUUGUCCGGAAUUAUUGGGCGUAAAGGGCUCGUAGGCGGUUUGUCGCGUCGGGAGUGAAAUCCCCGGGCUCAACCCGGGAACUGCGUCCGAGACUGGCAGGCUCGAAUCCGGGAGAGGGAUGUGGAAUUCCAGGUGUAGCGGUGAAAUGCGUAGAUAUCUGGAGGAACACCGGUGGCGAAGGCGGCAUCCUGGACCGGUAUUGACGCUGAGGCG